rnacentral:lncRNA from 10 species
GGGGCCCACCUGCUGUGUCUCCUGCCCAGAGCUGUGCCCUCUGGGGCUCCCGAGGGCCAGAUGAGGCUGUGAAGUGUGUGUGGCCUGUGGUUAAGAACCAUCUCCAGAGCGAAAAAAACCAGGUUUCCACGUCUAUCAAAUGGGGACUAUCAUGCCUACUUCAGAAGAGCAUCUGUGCAGAUUGAGUGACCCCCCAGCAGUGUCUGCAUGUAGUAGGUGCUCAGCCAUGCUCCCCAGGCCAGGACACAGCGCUGCCCACUCCCGCUCAG